rnacentral:rRNA from 1 species
CGGACGGGUGAGUAACGCGUGGGUAACCUGCCUUGUACUGGGGGACAACAGUUAGAAAUGACUGCUAAUACCGCAUAAGCGCACAGUAUCGCAUGAUACAGUGUGAAAAACUCCGGUGGUACAAGAUGGACCCGCGUCUGAUUAGCUAGUUGGUAAGGUAACGGCUUACCAAGGCGACGAUCAGUAGCCGACCUGAGAGGGUGACCGGCCACAUUGGGACUGAGACACGGCCCAAACUCCUACGGGAGGCAGCAUG